UACGUAGGGGGCAAGCGUUGUCCGGAUUCAUUGGGCGUAAAGAGCGUGUAGGCGGCCAGGUAGGUCGGGUGUGAAAACUGGAGGCUCAACCUUCAGAGGUCGACCGAAACCAUCUGGCUAGAGUCCGGGAGAGGAGAGUGGAAUUCCUGGUGUAGCGGUGAAAUGCGCAGAUAUCAGGAAGAACACCCGUGGCGAAAGCGGCUCUCUGGAACGGUACUGACGCUGAGACGCGAAAGCGUGGGGAGCGAACAGG
rnacentral:rRNA from 1 species